AGUGAACGCUGGCGGUAGGCCUAACACAUGCAAGUCGAACGGCAGCACAGUAAGAGCUUGCUCUUACGGGUGGCGAGUGGCGGACGGGUGAGGAAUACAUCGGAAUCUACUUUUUCGUGGGGGAUAACGUAGGGAAACUUACGCUAAUACCGCAUACGACCUACGGGUGAAAGCAGGGGAUCUUCGGACCUUGCGCGAUUGAAUGAGCCGAUGUCGGAUUAGCUAGUUGGCGGGGUAAAGGCCCACCAAAGCGACGAUCCGUAGCUGGUCUGAGAGGAUGAUCAGCCACACUGGAACUGAGACACGGUCCAGACUCCUACGGGAGGCAGCAGUGGGGAAUAUUGGACAAUGGGCGCAAGCCUGAUCCAGCCAUACCGCGUGGGUGAAGAAGGCCUUCGGGUUGUAAAGCCCUUUUGUUGGGAAAGAAAAGCAGCAAGUUAAUACCCCGCUGUUCUGACGGUACCCAAAGAAUAAGCACCGGCUAACUUCGUG
rnacentral:rRNA from 1 species